UCGGCGCGCUGCGGCCAGGGCUGUACACCUGCUGGCUGCCAUGGCUGAGGUGGGCCGUACCGGGAUCAGCUACCCAGGCGCGCUUCUCCCACAGGGCUUCUGGGCUGCGGUCGAAGUGUGGCUGGAGAGGCCGCAGGUGGCAAACAAACGGCUUUGCGGCGCCCGCCUGGAGGCCCGCUGGAGCGCCGCCCUGCCCUGCGCCGAGGCCCGCGGCCCCGGGACUAGCGCAGGCUCGGAGCAGAAGGAGCGGGGUCCGGGACCCGGCCAGGGUUCCCCCGGAGGGGGCCCAGGUCCCAGGUCGCUAUCAGGACCCGAGCAGGGCACGGCAUGUUGCGAACUUGAGGAGGCCCAGGGCCAGUGCCAGCAAGAGGAGGCACAGAGGGAAGCCGCCUCAGUGCCCCUGAGGGACUCCGGGCACCCCGGCCAUGCUGAAGGAAGGGAGGGCGACUUCCCCGCCGCAGAUCUGGAUUCGCUGUGGGAGGAUUUCUCCCGAAGUCUCGCCCGUGGCAAUUCGGAGAUGCUGGCCUUCCUCACCAGCUCCGGGGCGGGAUCGCAGCCAGAGGCGCAGCGUGAGCUCGACGUGGUUCUCAGAACCGUCAUCCCGAAAACUAGCCCACAUUGCCCCCUUACAACUCCCAGGAGGGAAAUAGUCGUGCAAGAUGUCCUCAAUGGAACUGUAACAUUUUUGCCUUUGGAAGAAGAUGAUGAGGGGAACUUAAAGGUUAAGAUGAGCAAUGUGUAUCAAAUUCAGCUCAGUCAUAGCAAAGAAGAAUGGUUCAUAUCUGUUUUAAUUUUCUGUCCAGAAAGAUGGCAUUCAGAUGGAAUCGUGUAUCCCAAACCCACGUGGCUUGGAGAAGAGUUGCUGGCCAAGUUGGCCAAGUGGUCUGUAGAGAACAAGAAGACUGACUUUAAAAGCACCCUUUCCCUCAUCUCCAUUAUGAAGUAUAGCAAGGCUUACCAGGAACUUAAAGAGAAGUAUAAGGAAAUGGUUAAGGUGUGGCCUGAAGUCACUGAUCCUGAGAAGUUCGUGUAUGAAGAUGUGGCUAUCGCAGCAUACCUGCUGAUUCUAUGGGAAGAAGAAAGGGCUGAGAGGGGACUAACUGCCAGGCAGUCCUUUGUGGACCUGGGAUGUGGAAAUGGCCUCCUGGUCCACAUCCUGAGCAGUGAGGGGGUAAGGCCCGGCUCCAUCACCUUUUCUGGUAACUUGUCCAGAGUUUCCUCAAGUCAGGCACAGGGUUCACUGACAUCUUUUUCUGCUGAUACAGCCUGGAUUUGGAGUCAGCCAGCUAUCAGACAUCCAGGCAGAGGGAUUGAUGUCCGAAGAAGAAAAAUCUGGGACAUGUAUGGACCACAAACUCAGUUAGAGGAAGAUGCAAUCACACCCAAUGAUAAGACCCUUUUCCCUGAUGUUGAUUGGUUAAUCGGUAACCAUUCUGAUGAACUCACACCAUGGAUACCUGUCAUUGCAGCCAGGUCUUCCUACAAUUGCCGCUUCUUUGUCCUCCCCUGCUGCUUCUUUGACUUCGUUGGAAGAUACUCCCGGAGGCAGAGUAAGAAGACUCAGUACCGGGAAUACCUUGACUUCAUUAAAGAAGUGGGCUUCACCUGUGGGUUUCACGUGGACGAAGACUGCCUCAGGAUUCCUUCAACCAAAAGAGUCUGUCUCGUUGGAAAAUCCAGAACAUACCCUUCCUCCAGAGAAGCUUCCGUGGAUGAAAAGAGGACUCAGUACAUUAAGAGCAGGCGGGGCUGCCCUGUAAGCCCACCUGGCCAGGAGCUUUCCCCUUCUCCACCCUGGGUUGCUGCUGGCAGUGCUGGUCACUGUGACGGUCAGCAAGCUCUGGACGCCAGGGUCGGGUGUGUAGCCAGGGCCUGGGCCGCUGAGCAUGGAGCAGGGCCCCAGGCUGAAGGACCCUGGCUACCUGGAUUUCAUCCCAGAGAAAAGGCUGAGCGUGUGAGGAACUGUGCCGCCCUGCCACGAGAUUUUAUUGACCAAGUGGUUUUGCAAGUAGCGAAUUUACUGUUAGGUGAAAAGCAAUUAAACACAAGAAGUUCUCGAAAUGGGAGUUUGAAGACCUGGAACGGGGGAGAGAGCCUAUCUCUGGCAGAAGUAGCCAAUGAGCUGGACACGGAGACCCUGCGGAGGCUGAAGCGGGAGUGUGGGGGCCUGCAGACGCUGCUCCGGAACAGCCACCAGGUGUUCCAAGAUGCUCACCUGUGAAGAGGGAGAAUGUCGCUGUCCGAGCAAGUGUCUCUUCUGUGUCCUUGGCUGCCUUCCUCCUCCUCCUCCUCCCGCCGCCUACUUUGGGGCCCCUUCCUCUUCUCAGCAGUGCCACUGACCAGCCCAGCCUCAUGCACCAUCCCGGCCGUUGCCCUGGAGGGCUGGCAGCUGGCAGGACCCAGAGAGGGCCCAGCCAUCACCCCUCCCUUGAGCAGAUGACAGAGUAACACUGGGAGUUACUAUGGACACUGGAAAAGAGAACACAGAUGCAUCUGAGAUUUUGUAGUUGCAACUCUUCUCUGAUGAGGAAACUGAGGCUUGGAGAGACCCAGGUCCUUGCCCAGGCCCCCACACCACACCCAGGAGGGGCGGCGCUGGAGUCCUGCACCACGUCGCUGUUCUCACCAGGAGAAGGCCCUCGUUUGCUGCAUCCAGCUACCCCAUCUCCAUGCUGCAGGCAGGAGGACACAGCCGGGGCUCCUGGAAGCCUCUCGCGUUCCUGGGCUAGGGAACCUUCCUCCAUCUCAGAGCCGGCCAUGGGGUGUCCCCUGACCUUCUGCAGCCAUGUCCCCCUUCGAUGGAGCUCUGCUUCUGGCCCUUGCUCCGCACUGAAGGCCCCUGUGAUCACAUGGCCCACCCGCCAAUCCAGGUGGCCUCCCUCCAAGGUCAGCCGGUGAGCUGCCUUCAUGCCUGCAUGGUGUCUCUGACCCUUGGCCACGCAACCUAACGUAGUCACAGGUCCUGGAGAUUUGCACUGGGAUAUCUUGGGUGAGGGGAAUUAUUCUGCUGACCCCCGAUGGCAACUGGAGUGGUGGGAGGGGAAGAGAACACCAGGAUGUGUUCAGAGAGAGAGGCGUGGACCUCAGGGGGUGUCAGGGGAAGAGGGCCCGGGAGGGAGAAAGCAUUUGGUUUAGACGUGUUGGGUGUGAGGUGCCCAUGGAAUAGCAGGGUGGAGCUGGUGGGGGAAGCUGGGGGGCUGCCCUGGGGCUCUAGCACAUGGAGGCCAAGGAGGGAGUCGUGGGGUGGAGGGGGCACAGGGCUCCCCAAGGUCCUGGGUCUGCCUCAGGGCCGCUGCUACUCCGCACCCCUCCUCCCAUGCCUGAGCACCCACGGCAGUGACCAGCAGUGACCAUCAUCACCCAAUGAGGAUGGAGAGAAACUGAGGCUGGCCUGAGAUGUCCUGGGGAAUGAGCUGGCACCGGAGUCCCACAGGUGAAGGGCUCAGAGGAAAUGGUCUUGGAGGAUUCGGGCUGACCACUGGGAACUCACGGUCCACCGAAGGGCAGCGGUGAAGGGCUGUCCUGGCUUUGCCCCUGCGGCAGGCCCAUAGAAUGACGAGAGCAGUUGGCAUCCACAGCAUUUCCUGAGCAGAUGCUGCCCUUGCUCCCAAGCUGCUCCCAGCCUGACAGAGACAGAGGAACAGCAAGUGUCACCAGGGGCAGGGCCGGGGCUGUGGGAGCCCAGAGGAGUGCCUUACCCAACCCGAGUCGGUCCAAUAAGAAGUGGGAAGUGCCUGAAAAUAUUGGAAGAGCUCGCCAGGCUUUCCACGCCUCUGUGUGACACCCUCCUUUGAGCGCCUGCAUUCCUGGGAGUGAGAUGGUUGUCCGUGGUCUCUCCCCCACGACAAGAUGGAAGUUCUGCCCAGCUGUACGCUGGGGGUCUGAAACCGUCCCUGUAAACUUCAUAAAAUUAACCAGGGAAGAAUAGAGGGGGGAAAACAAAAAUGAACUCAGCGCGGCGCCCUCUGUGCUCGUCCCUGGGUGGCCACGCUCCAACCCACCACCUCGUGCCCAUCUGCUGCUAUGGCCCCAGAGUCACGCAGGCCCGGCCACAAGACCAUCACCCCCUCGAGUGCUCUGCAGACGACAGCCUGAGCACUGGGAACGUGUUUUCCCCUGAGAUACCCCUCCAGGCUCUGCGUGCCAAGGACACUUCUGACGCCAGCUGUCCUGAGGACCCCGGAGGAGCUGACUCGCCCAAGAACAUGGUCCCAGAUACUGAUGACUCAUCUCCCUUCCCUGACCUGACCAAUCAACAAGCCUAAUUCUCUAGCCCCUCACCCUUCACCAUUCCCUGAAAAACCUCACCCCAGCCCAGGCCAGGUGCAGCGGCUCAUGCCUGUCAUCUCAGCACUUUCGGAGGUCAAGGUGGGAGGAUGGCUUGAGGCCAGGAGUUCAAGACCAGCCUGGGCAACAUAGUGAGACUCCAUUUCUACCAAGAAUAAAAAAAAUUAUCUAGGCUUGGUGGUGUGUGCCUGUGGACCCAGCUACUCAGGAGGCUGAGGCAGAAGAGUCUGAGUCCAAGAGAUUGAAGCUGCAGUCAGCCAAGAUCGCACCAUUGCACUCCAGCCUGGGCAACAGAGCAAGACCCUGUCUCAAAAAACAAAAAACAAAACAACAAAAACAACAACACCACCAGCCCAGAACUCAUCAGAGAGAGUUGUUAGAGUUUCACCCAUCUUCUCAUGAGCAAUGUGGCCUUGGCAAUGAUGUACGGUUGUAACAAUGUAACCUUGUAACAGUGUAACCUGAACAAGCUUCUUGCAGAUAUCUCUUCUGGCUGAUUUGAAACCCCAGUGAAGGAUUGGUGUGCAGAUGGAGCCUCAUGAGGGCCAUGCUCUAUUGCCCAGUUCAUGAGUGUCUGGGGAGAGAAUGGACUUGAAAGAGGAGCUAAGGACUCAGUGCUGAUUUUAACAGCCAGGGGACUUCGCUGGACUUGGGGUUCCAGCUGCUGGGGCUGCAGCAGACACUGGCAUAGUUGUCAACAGCCCCGUCAGCCAAAUGAAUUAUUUACAAGUUUUCAAGAAAGGAGACUGCAGGCAGCUGUUGGACCAGACAGAGGAUAGAAGCCUCCAGGAGAAAUAGGCAGUUUUCAAGGUUUCCUGGUAUAAUGAUUCAUCCAGAAAUUUAUUUGAAAAGUUCAUUUGUAUCUAGUGGUGAUCAUGGCAUGUCAAGACAGGGCCCUCCUGAGUUUCCUGCCACUCCUUCAGUGCCAGGGAGCAGAAGAGGGAGGGGGGCAGAGGAAGCAACAGCCAUCUGGUAGGGAGCUUGAUGUCUCCAGGGUUCAGGAGGGGGCAGCAGGUGUGUCCCGACUCUGUUCCUCAACCUGCCGUGUGAGGCUGGAGGAGUCGUGUCCUCUCUGGGCCCCUGAAUCCUCAUCUGAGACCUGCACACAGGCCACGUGGCUCUAGGGUCCUUCCAGCUUAGUUGUCCUGAGUCCUCUGACCUUGAUGACUGGCUGGAUGUUAUGCCCUUUCAAGAAGUCUGCCUUUGGCCCCAUGAGGCUGUGGCUCAGGGCAGGGUAGGGCAUGCAGGAGAGAAGGCACCAGCUCUGGGGUCAGACACACCUGGCUUGGUACCCGGCCUUGCCCAUGCACCUGAGUAACCUGUGCUAGGCUCUUCCUGUCCUUGCCUACACAGGGUGGGCGCUUGGAUGGCACUUCCUGGCUUUCAGGGAGGGAGGGUGGAGUGGGGCCAGUGGGGUAGCUUUGGGUGGGGCCCUGUGGGGUCUGCGUACCCCUGGAGCUGAGUGACAGCAUGAGAGGGUCACCAGCACAGCCGAGGGCCUCUCCUGCUCCACCUCCAGCCCCUCACUCAGAGAGUCCCCAAAGGCACGACUGCCGGAGCCCAGUCCCUCUGGCCAGGGCAGGGCCUGACACUUUGGCAUGACCAGCUUCUUCCUGCACAAGCUCUGGAAGGUCCCAUUUCUCCCUGUGGUGGCCCGGACUUGAGGCCACGUCAGCAGUAGGCCAUGGCUGGGAGGCGCCCAUUUCUCUCGAGUUUGCACGAGGCACAAACUUCUGGCGUGGACAAGAGAGGGCGGGGGCCUGGGCAACUGCUUUCGCUCUUUUGGCUGAGAAGGAAAAAGUGACUUCCAAGAACUGAGGCGCAUUCUAGAAUCUCUCUAUUUUGAAAGUGACCUUUCUCUGAGCCGGCACUCCUAGAAGGAACUGAUUCUGUCCAUGCAGGCUGCAGCUGGGCAUUAG